AUGGCACCCCCUCCGUUGCGAUCCACUCAAAUUAAAAUCCAAAAACCCUUCCCUCCCCUCUCUCACUCCCUCCCAAGCUCUCUCCCUCUCUCAAACGUCCAUACUCAUUUUCUCUCACAAUCAGUCUCUGCGUUCACCUUUGAUUCGAUUCCAGUCUAUUGCCGAUCAUGUCGCUGAGGCCGAGCGCAAGGACAGAGGUACGGAGGAACAAGUACAAGGUGGCGGUGGACGCGGAGGAGGGGAGGAGGAGGAGAGAGGACAACAUGGUGGAGAUCCGGAAAAAUAAGAGGGAAGAGAGCUUGCAGAAGAAGCGACGCGAGGGACUGCAGGCCCAGCAGCAGCAACUCACCUCCUUCUCCAAUUCCUCUACUACCGAUAAGAAGUUAGAAAGUCUUCCAGCAAUGGUUGCAGGUGUUUGGUCAGAAGAUAGGAACUCACAGCUUGAGGCAACCACUCAUUUUCGAAAGCUGCUCUCAAUAGAACGUAGUCCUCCAAUCAAUGAAGUUGUACAGUCUGGUGUUGUUCCACGUUUCAUUGAGUUCCUUGCAAGGGAUGACUUUCCACAGCUUCAGUUUGAGGCAGCAUGGGCUCUCACAAAUAUUGCCUCCGGAACAUCAGAAAACACCAAAGUUGUAAUUGAUCAUGGGGCUGUGCCAAUAUUUAUUAAGCUUUUAAGUUCACCCACUGACGAUGUCAGGGAACAGGCUGUCUGGGCUCUAGGAAAUAUUGCUGGUGACUCACCUAAGUGUCGCGAUCUUGUCCUUGGCUGUGGGGCUUUGAUGCCAUUGCUUGCACAGUUCAAUGAACAUGCAAAGCUUUCUAUGUUGAGAAAUGCAACCUGGACGUUGUCUAACUUCUGCAGGGGCAAGCCACAACCUUUAUUUGAGCAGACAAAGCCUGCUCUUCCAGCUCUUGAGCGUCUUAUACAUUCGAAUGAUGAGGAAGUCCUGACAGAUGCAUGCUGGGCACUGUCUUAUCUCUCAGAUGGAACCAAUGACAAAAUCCAAGCUGUUAUUGAGGCAGGGGUCUGCCCCAGGCUUGUUGAACUUUUGCUUCAUUCAUCUCCAACAGUGCUCAUUCCUGCAUUACGUACAGUUGGAAAUAUUGUCACUGGUGAUGACAUGCAGACUCAGUGUAUGAUAAACCACCAGACUCUUCCAUGCCUUUUGAACCUCCUGACCCAUAAUUAUAAAAAGAGCAUCAAGAAGGAAGCAUGCUGGACAAUCUCAAACAUCACAGCUGGAAACAUAAAUCAAGUACAGGCCAUAAUUGAAGCUGGUAUCAUUGCGCCUCUUGUGCAACUGCUUCAGAAUGCUGAAUUUGAAAUCAAGAAAGAGGCUGCUUGGGCAAUUUCAAAUGCUACUUCUGGUGGUACCCAUGAACAAAUCAAAUUCUUGGUGAACCAGGGGUGUAUCAAACCAUUAUGUGAUCUCCUAAUAUGUCCAGACCCCAGAAUCAUCACAGUUUGCUUGGAAGGACUUGAGAACAUCCUAAAGGUUGGAGAAGCUGAAAAAAAUUUAGGCAAUACUGGAGAUGCGAAUCUGUAUGCCCAAAUGAUUGAUGAUGCAGAGGGAUUGGAAAAGGUUGAGAACCUUCAGAGUCAUGACAACAAUGACAUAUACGAGAAAGCAGUGAAGAUUCUUGAGACAUAUUGGCUGGAUGAGGAGGAUGAUGAUGAAGCAACACAUCAGGGUGAUGCUCCCGUAGAUGGAUAUAACUUUGGAGGAAGUGAAUUUACUGUUCCUUCUGGUGGAUUUAAAUUUAGUUGAGGUAUGCAACUUGUUUUCCAUGAAUGGUUGUCUUCGUAAAUUCCAUAAACAGUGGAAUCGGUUAGCUUGUGGAAAUUGGUUGGGAAUUGGAUGUUGUUGAUGACUUAAAUCGUCAUAGUUGAGGACUUGAACCCUCGAGAGAAUGUUGAUGAGUAUGAGGGGCCUUUUUGGGAUAUAAAGUCUGGUGGAAUGAAGCUGAGAGUCCUGGUUCACGUUUUGGUUGGGUGGUGGUGAAGGCACUUUCCAUUAUGUCCUGCUUUAGUCCAACUUCAAAUGGGAUUGAAUGAUGCAAGGGUUUCAAGACAAGAAAUGGUUAAAGCUUCUCCGAUCAAUUGGCAAUGCUGGUGGAAACUACACAAACGAUCCUUUUUCUCUCGUUUUCCAUUCUAUCAUUUUUUCUUCUUGUAGUUCUUUUGAUUCCUGGGUGGACAUGUGAUGCUGCCCAUCGUUCUCUAACAGUAUCUUCCUCGAUUUUUUUUUAUUAUUUUUUUAAAAUAGUUGUUAGAGCAAUUGUUUGAGGGGAAAAAAAAGUUUACUGCAUUCAGAGGUCUUUUAGAGACAAAUUGCGAGAUUUCGUCUUUCCUAUUAGAAAGAUGUAUCGAUUUUAUCUCGAGAUUAAUGUCAACAGACAAUGAUUUUUCUGCU